rnacentral:rRNA from 1 species
GCAAUGGGGGCACCCUGACCGAGCAACGCCGCGUGAGUGAAGAAGGUUUUCGGAUCGUAAAGCUCUGUUGUAAGUCAAGAACGAGUGUGAGAGUGGAAAGUUCACACUGUGACGGUAGCUUACCAGAAAGGGACGGCUAACUACGUGCCAGCAGCCGCGGUAAUACGUAGGUCCCGAGCGUUGUCCGGAUUUAUUGGGCGUAAAGCGAGCGCAGGCGGUUUGAUAAGUCUGAAGUUAAAGGCUGUGGCUCAACCAUAGUUCGCUUUGGAAACUGUCAAACUUGAGUGCAGAAGGGGAGAGUGGAAUUCCAUGUGUAGCGGUGAAAUGCGUAGAUAUAUGGAGGAACACCGGUGGCGAAAGCGGCUCUCUGGUCUGUAACUGACGCUGAGGCUCGAAAGCGUGGGGAGCGAACAGGAUUAGAUACCCUGGUAGUCCACGCCGUAAACGAUGAGUGCUAGGUGUUGGAUCCUUUCCGGGAUUCAGUGCCGCAGCUAACGCAUUAAGCACUCCGCCUGGGGAGUACGACCGCAAGGUUGAAACUCAAAGGAAUAGACGGGGGCCCGCACAAGCGGUGGAGCAUGUGGUUUAAUUCGAAGCAACGCGAAGAACCUUACCAGGUCUUGACAUCCCGAUGCUAUUUCUAGAGAUAGAAAGU